rnacentral:misc_RNA from 1 species
AAAUUUUCCUGCAACCUCCCAUAGACCAGCCUUACUACAUAUACUGUACAGCGAUUUCCUCUUAGGCCUUUUGAAUUGUCCUUCAUCAACACCAACUUCACCAGGAGGAAAAUGCAAAUUAAAUUUCGAGUCAACAUCAUCUACCUCUCUCUCUGAUUCAGCUGCCUCGAGAGAUUUAUUGACUGAGUCAAAAAUCUGGCGAUUCAGUGAGGUUCUAGUUACAUGUUCAGCGGUACGUAUCUCCUCCAAAUAUCGGUUUUUAUAAUAUGAUUGAAGAGCCUUUUUUCGCUUUUGAAGAAGCAGCCACUUUUUGUCCAAGUCUUGAAUUGCCCAAAGUAUCUUAUGCCACCUUAAUGUUGGUGCUUUGUCAUUUUUAUCCUGAUCAUCACCAGCUUCAUGCUCUGUAUCUUUUAACAAGCUUAGAAU